AUAUGAAUGAAAGCAAAUUAAAAAAGCAAAUAUGGUAUGAGGUUAUGAUAAUUGCACAAUACUACUAUGGGUUAUUCUGAAUGUUUUCAUUAACCUGCAUUUUUAGGCAGGAGAGACCUCUGAGAUGUUCCCUCUGCUGUCUGCUUUCAGCAGAGAAACUGAUUCAGCAUUUUACAACUGAAGUAUGGUUUGAGAUGUAUUAGUUCUCUCUAAACAGCAAAGGAAAAGACAGCUCUACUCAGGAUCUGGAAAAUGCAGUGGGCAUCUUUAAUUUUUCCACAGGUUAUCUCUGGUCCUACAUUCACGGUGAUCAACAUCCUAGACCCGAUUUUCAAACUGGCAGUGGAUAUAGCAAAAACAAGAAACACCACCAGUCCUGAACAGACUAUUGUCUCCUUCAGACUAAGAUCAGAAUCCUCCCAAGUUUCCUGGCAAGACAGAAGUUCCUGGAUUCAAAUUCUAAAACAUGCUUGCAUAUUAAUUCAACUCAUCAAAAGGCCAUAAAACAGAUGACCAAGUAGGUCAUUAUGACCAUUCAGUGUUAGUUGCAUCAUUAACCACAAGGGCUGACACUCUGGCAUUGAAAAUUUUGUUCCUUCCCCAAAGUUCCCAAGGAUUUCUAUGGUUUUCUGAUCAUCUGUGACAAAAAAAAGGGCAAAGGAAGACAGUGCAUCAGUGACCAAAAACAUAAAUAGAUAUUGACAUGCCCCAGUACAAGGAAUACAAGCUUAUAUCCUGGCUAUUGAAAACAGAGAAAUACCACCUUUCUUCCACCAUAGCAGAAUGAAGGGAAAAAAAUCAGUGAUUGAAGCGGUAAAGACAAUCAAGUUGCAGGAGGCACUAUAUCUUGUUAUGAAUAAGCAUGAAAGUGCUAAGACGACUGUGUAUUCAUCUUAAUCACCACUAUGGAGAACUUUAAACAUUUCAAAUGUUAGUUUUAGCGACUGUGACGAAACAUCUAACAAUAUAUUAAAGCUCAAUUUGUACAACCUUAAAAAUAAUGGCCUAAUUCUCUGCUAUAGUGUAGCUGCUUUACAGCACUCCAGGGACAUAAUCUGGGUCGAGAGCAAAUUUAGCCAAUCAUCUAGAGAAAACCACCUUAAUACAAGGAUGAUACUCCAGUGACAUAGAUGUGAUAUACGGGCACCUAUGUCAUACACCCCUCCCUGCAAUCAGUGUACUGCAGAAAAGUAGGCAUGGCAAAAAGACGGGGGCCCAACUCCAUGCAGCUGAACCACACCAAACCUUGGCUGUAUUUUGACUUGUGUUUAACUUGCCUUUAUAACCUGGCAUAUAUUAGAACUGCCUUCAAGAUGGCCCUGUGCAGAGCAGCAUCAGGGUUGGGAAACUGCAAAUGUGAGCUUUAAACAACCUUUGUACCUACCUCUACCUGCAUUUUGUUUAUUUCAGCUGCAGCUGGCUCAUUGUGUUUAUCUGUCCAUGUUAAACAAAACACCUGAAAACACUUUUUCCCUUUUAAAGUGGUUCUGAACCUUCUCGGGCAAAUUCUGUCUAUAUUUAGAUCUGCACAAUUUAUGGUUUAAAGGGGAACAGGGGAACUAUGUUUUCAGGAAUGUCUAGAGGAGCUAAAACUGUGCACUAACAUCAAAGAAGUUUUUUUAAAAAAAAUUCGUAAGCCUAAAAUUUUCAUUUACUCAUUCAGGUACAUUGUCUUGCUCCCACACAAGAAUUUACUGUGUGUAUAUUCAAGUAGGGUUUAAAUCAAAACUAACAUUAAAAAUCCCACUGAAGAGUAGGUUCAUCAAUGAUUCUUAAAAAAUAAUUUGUUUGUGAAGUUUUCCAAAUGGCUAACUUUAGGUAACCAAAUAAUAUAAAAAUAAAACAAAUAAAUAAA